AGCAACAAUAAAACCACAACUGAAAACAAAGGCCAACAUGAACAUCUUGUUCCUCAGUGUAACCUUCAACACUCUUCUGCUUUCAGGUGCCUCUCAGAUGAGCAAAGUCCACCAGAAUCCACCUGACAUUUACAGAAACAAAGGACAAAAAGCUGAAAUCACCUGCUCACAUCAAAUUGAUGGCUACUACGUAAUCCUCUGGUACAGACAAACAAAGAACAAUGACAUGAAGCUCCUGGGAUAUAUGAGCCAUGACAGUGCAAACCCUGAACCUGAAGUGACUGUGCAGAUGAGUGGAGAUGCAAAUAAAGGUAAAACCUGCACAUUAACCACUGAAGAACUCAGCCUGAACAGCAGUGCAGUUUACUUCUGUGCUGCCAGUCAACACAGUGAUGUGAACUGCUGUGUCUCUGUACAAAAACCUCCCACUGCGUCGUUUUUUUCAUCUUUCUAUUACAGAUCAUACCCUGCACCUGUACUAAACCAUUAA